GCUGGGCAGGAACAGCCAGGGCCUAUGCUGCUGGGAAAGGACAGUCACCCUCUGGAAAGAGGGAGAAGUGUUUGGAGGCUGCAGGGGUGAGCAGGCAUGAGGGUGGAAGGUUUGGCGUUGGUAUGCCCAGAGAAAGGAGGGGAACCAGAAAUGUAGGAAACAGUCCAGGGAAGGAGCAGUGAGGGCAGAGAAAGGAAAGACCAGAACUGCUUGGUUGAGGGACCCUGGACUGGAACCUGGAGUAAAGGGCGGGCCCGGGUUCCUCCACCAGCCACUGCGGGCAUGGCAUUGAGUGGAAGGGUAGUGAAUGGGGAGACUGCUAGUGUGGAGAGAGACUUUGGUACCCCGGAAAAGGGAAUGAUGAGUGACCUAGGUGGAGGACUGAGUCACGAAGGAGAUGUUGCAGACCCUGGAGCGAGAGAGGAGCUGCAGACCAGAGAGAGGUGGUAUGACGGAGUGCAAACUGCAGAAAGGGGAGUCAACCUCAAGCGCUAAUCCCCAGAGUGACCAGGAGGAGGUGCCAGCGCAGCGCCACUCAGAUAAUUUCCCCCUUGAAAUAUGACAGACAAAGGAGAAUAACUUGGAGAAGAAUCACUCUUUACACAUGGGGAAGUGCGGCCUGGAGAGGUGAAGUGACCUGCCCAAGGUCUCUCAAAGUCUGUGGCAGAUCUGGGAAAUGAACCCAGAUCUCUGGAGUCCCAUUCCAGUGCACUAACCACAAGUUUAUUGAAAAUAUUGGAUACUUCAAGGUUUGUGCCAUGUUGAGCACAAAUACUGGUUCUUGGUAAGGGGAACCUAAUAAAAAAAGGCUCCUUUUUCCCUCCCAUCCCCUUUAUCGCACCUGCCCAGAGGACAAACACCACCUGAUCCUUGAUGACUCAAUAUCCACACCUGGAUGGUAGCAUUUAUCUGUUUGAUAUCUUGAUUAAGCUUUACUGACUUAGCAUUCUUGCCUUGACUUCACACUGGUGUAAAUGAGAUCAGAAUCUGGACUACUGUGUACCCGGCAUGUGCAUACAGUAUAUACACUUUUUCUAAUUUUUGAACAUUUACUAUUAACAUUACACACAAGAACUUUGGUUAAAUAUUCAUUCAGUCAUUUUGAUUUUGAUUGUUAAUCAGCACAUCUAACUUUAGGUGCUCAGAUAGCUCAGUGCUGGGCCUCAGGACAAAACCCUAAGAUGCAUCUGCUGUGUGAGAAGAUUUGAAAGCAGGGAUUUGUCAUCUCUUUGGAUAAAUGCAGUAAUAGUGUGCAAGUUUACUGGAGAUGCAAUUCUAUUUAUCAGGACAGGUAGAUGUUUUUCAGAAUGGUGGGAGAGGACUGCAGCUGUGAGACUCUUGUUUAAAUCAGUUGGACAAUAAACUCAUGCAGCUUUGAAGUGUAGCACUGAAUUGAAUACAAGACACUUGACUGUGUUUGCCAAAUGGUGGCCAGACACACCCAUGACAGCUUGCUAGCAGGGUGCUCCCAUCUUGUGUGUGAUCUGCAUGCUACCAAAGGGGAGUUAAACAAGACUCUUAAGGGCGGCAAAAAAGCUGGAGCCAGCCCUGGGUGAAGAGACAGGGG